rnacentral:lncRNA from 1 species
AGCCAAGAGGGGGGGGGGGGUGAAUUGGUUUCUCUUAAUUUUUACUAUCUUACUUAUGUCAAUUGAUGAGUUAGUGAAAUAGAACAAAGCACAAUACAAACACACAGGAAGUAUAGUGGUUCGGUGCUCUCCUAAGCACCUACGUCCACUCCCCAAGCGACCCCUUCGGAAUUCACUAUAAUCCCGCGGAUUACAGUUGGAUUGUUUUCCGGGCUCACAAUCCAAAAAUCUUUACACUUUGGUUUU